rnacentral:lncRNA from 1 species
GGGACUUGUAAUUAUCCAGACAUAAAUAAACAUUACUUCUUUAAUAGUUAUAAUGAUCAGUUGAGCGGUCUUCUGAAGUGGCAGUGUUGAAAAAAGUAGCAUCAGAAAAUUGGUGAGGCCAUGACUCCAUACCAACAAAUCGAGUGGAUCUAGUGUGUAUUGACAAGUACGUAAGGAAGCAAACUGUAGAGUAGGUGACAAGUGUUGAUGGCUUGUAAUAAAGUGUGGAACAUCUCAUGAGUAGGCAGUGAAAUCAUAUGCCAUGAUGCUUUUGUCAACCAUCUAAGAGGAUGCAGGAUGCCCCAAUAUUGAUUUUAUAUGAGAAUAUCCAACUGCAAGACAAUCAGAAGGCCAAGAGGUUACCCUUUGACGAAGGAAUAAGAAUGUAAAGCAGACUAUAAUACCCAAAUCUACUUGUAUCAUAAGGCUUCACUAAUUCUCCAUGAAAUCUACACAAGUAGCAAAUACAGUUGUCGUACCUGCAUACGACGAUAACAUUAGAUUUGAAGGAUGGUUAGCCGAUUUUACAUGAAAACACCAUAAAAGAAAGCUAUUGAAUUUACAAACAUUUAACUUGUUUUGUUAUGUCAAAACCUAAUUAUCAAGACAUAACUAACGUUACUUCUCUAAUUGGUGACAGAAAACCAACAGAUUGAGUGGAUAAAUCUUGACAAGGAGGCUAAGUCUAGAGUUUGUGAUAAAUCUUGAUGGCAGGCAAUAAUAGUAGAUGAUCCAAAAGUAGAUACAACUCAAGAAAGAUCAUAACUACAAAGAUUAUUAACAAAUAUUGUGAAAUCUUGACAGAUAAAUCUUGACAAGUAUCUCAAUAAAGCAAAGUAUAGAGUUUGUGAUAAAUCUUGAUGGCAGGCAUUAGUAGUAGAUGAUCCAAAAGUAGAUACAACUCAAGAAAGAUCAUAACUACAAAGAUUAUUAACAAAUAUUCUGAAAUCUUGACAGAUAAAUCUUGACAGAUAAAUCUUGACAAGUAUCUCAAGAAAGUAAAGUAUAGAGUUUGUGAUAAAUCUUGAUGGCAGGCAGUAAUAGUAGAUGAUCCAAAGUAGAUACAACUCAAGAAAGAUCAUAACUACAAACAUUAUUAACAAAUAUAGUGAAAUCUUGAAAAUAAAUCUUUUUUUUUGUUUUGUUACUAGUAAAAGUAGAUGCAACUCAAGAAAGAUCAUAACUACAAACAUUAUUAACAAAUAUUGUGAAAUCUUGAAAAUAAAUCCUUUUUUUCUUUUGUUACUAGUAAAAGUAGGGCAUUAAAAUUGGGCAAAAGUAAAUGGAAUUGAUAUAUAAAGUAAAGUUAACAAGUAGUGCAGUUCUAACCCAAGAACUUCAGAAUAUGAAACUGCUUAAAACUUGGAUUUUAAAAAUAAAUUCAUGUUCCCGUCAUCCUGGAAACAAGAAACUGAACAAUUAAAUCAAGAAACAAGUAAAUCAACAUGGGAUUAACAGAAAUUGAACAAACUUCGAUUAUCAACCUUUAAUCAAGAAACAAGUAAACCACUACUCAUUC